rnacentral:sRNA from 1 species
AGACGCAAGAUGGCGGCUGUGGUGCUGGCGGCGACGCGGUUGCUGCGGGGCUCGGGUUCUUGGGGCUGUUCGCGGCUGAGGUUUGGACCUCCUGCGUACAGACGGUUUAGUAGUGGGGGUGCCUAUCCCAACAUCCCCCUCUCUUCUCCCUUACCUGGAGUACCCAAGCCUGUUUUUGCUACAGUUGAUGGACAGGAAAAGUUUGAAACCAAAGUAACCACAUUGGAUAAUGGGCUUCGCGUGGCAUCUCAGAAUAAGUUUGGACAGUUUUGUACAGUAGGAAUUCUUAUCAAUUCAGGAUCGAGAUAUGAAGCGAAAUACCUUAGUGGAAUUGCUCACUUUUUGGAAAAAUUGGCAUUUUCGAGACACCACCAUGUAUGCUGUGUCUGCUGAUAGCAAAGGCUUGGACACGGUGGUUGGCUUACUGGCCGAUGUGGUUCUGCAGCCCCGGCUAACAGAUGAAGAAGUCGAGAUGACGCGGAUGGCGGUCCAGUUUGAGCUGGAGGACCUGAACCUGCGGCCUGACCCAGAGCCACUUCUCACCGAGAUGAUUCAUGAAGUAAAAUGUCAAACUCGAGAAUGCCCCCGCAUCUCGAACAGUGGUCCUCGGGACACCAGGGGUGGUGGGGAGGGUGCCUCCGUGAUGUUGUCCUUGCAGGUUAUGGAUAUAUACAGAACAUUUUUUUGUUUUUUGAGAUGAGGUUUCUCCACAUUGCCUACACUGGUCUUGCACUCCUGGGCUCAGCUCAGGUGAUCCUCCUGCCUCUGCCUCCCAAGUAGCUGGGAUUACAGGCGUGAGUCACCGCACUCAGCUUAGAACAUUCUUGAUUUCUGAGUCUGCUGUUUAUACAAUGUUCAUAUUUUCCAGUUUUUAUAGUAACUAGGUCUUUACUACUAAACACAAUUAAUCUUAGGCUUUUUGUGAAUUUGUAUUCUGGAGAGGCAGAUUUUACUCUUUUUAUAAAUACGCACACAGCUGCUAUUGCCAGACUGCAAGUAAAAUAUCAGCUUGCGU